ACAACAGCAGCUACCACAGCAGCAGCUACUGCUGCCACUACUGUCGCAGACACAACCACGGCUGACACAACAGCAGAUACCACAGUUGCAGCCACAACCGUCUAAUCUUAAUCAUCUCAGUCAUAGGUCCUCGUUUGAUGAAAUGUUAAACUUCGCACCUUAUCUUUUGCCAAUUUUGCCUCAAGAAUUGACUAUCAUCGCACUUCAGAAAUGACACCAUUCUAGAAAUUCUGCUUCUUUCAUACACUCACAUCCUGUUUAAUUUUAUUUCUUCAGCAUUUAUUUAAUAAAUCACUUUCAAACUCA